CUGCUAUAGAUAUGGCACAAUGCGUGCACUGAAGCAUGUCAAAUAAGAUGUGUUAGCCUCCCUCCAUCGACAUGUAAGGAAUCUGGACUCCUGACAAGACCAAAAAAAAGAAAAAUAGAUAAUUGGUCCAUAUUAAAUUCAUACGAAUAAUUGAACGACAAGAUUUUAACCAUAAGUAUAUAUACCUGACCAUCCCAGAUGGCCAA
rnacentral:lncRNA from 1 species